AGAGUUUGAUCCUGGCUCAGAAUGAACGCUGGCGGCGUGCUUAACACAUGCAAGUCGUACGAGAAAUCCUCUGCUUGCAGGGGAGAGUAAUGUGGCGCACGGGUGAGUAUCGCGUGGGUAAUCUACCCUUGAAUUCAGGAUAACAUUUCGAAAGGGGUGCUAAUACUGGAUAACAUCCUGAUGGUUUCGGCCAUAAGGAUCAAAGAUAGCCUCUACAUGUAAGCUAUAGUUCAGGGAUGAGCCCGCGUACCAUUACCUAGUUGGUGGGGUAAGAGCCUACCAAGGCAACGAUGGUUAGCUGGUCUGAGAGGAUGAUCACCCACACUGGAACUGAAACACGGUCCAGACUCCUACGGGAGGCAGCACUGAGGAAUUUUGCGCAAUGGGGGAAACCCUGACGCAUCCACGCCGCGUGAGUGAAUAACGCUUUCGGGUCCUAAAGCUCUGUCACGAGGGAAAAAAGUGGGAGAUGGUAAAACUGUUUUCCAUUGCCGGUACCUCUGAAGGAACCACGGGACCAACUCCCGUGCCCACCAGUU
rnacentral:rRNA from 1 species